rnacentral:rRNA from 1 species
AACGCUUAUCGGUGGAGCACUUCGGCUCGUGCGUCGAUGAAGAACGCAGCUAGCUGCGAGAACUAAUGUGAAAUUGCAGGACACAUUGAUCAUUGACACGUCGAACGCACUUUUGGCGGCCCCAGGUCCUCCUCCUGGGGCUACGCCUGUCUGAGGGUCG